UACGUAGGGAGCAAGCGUUGUCCGGAAUCAUUGGGCGUAAAGCGCGCGUAGGUGGCCUCAUAAGUCCGCUGUGAAAGUCCAAGGCUCAACCUUGGAAAGCCGGUGGAUACUGUGAGGCUAGAGUACGGAAGAGGCGAGUGGAAUUCCUGGUGUAGCGGUGGAAUGCGCAGAUAUCAGGAGGAACACCAAUAGCGAAGGCAGCUCGCUGGGACGGUAUUGACGCUAAGGCGCGAAAGCGUGGGGAGCAAACAAG
rnacentral:rRNA from 1 species